UACGGAGGGUGCAAGCGUUGUCCGGAUUUAUUGGGUUUAAAGGGUGCGUAGGCGGUCCGUUAAGUCCGGGGUGAAAGCCCACUGCUCAACAGUGGAACUGCCCUGGAAACUGGCGGACUUGAGUACAGACGAGGGUGGCGGAAUGGAUGGUGUAGCGGUGAAAUGCAUAGAUACCAUCCAGGACCCCGAUUGCGAAGGCAGCUGCCUAGACUGUAACUGACGCUGAGGCACGAAAGCGUGGGGAGCGAACAGG
rnacentral:rRNA from 1 species